GGGUAGUUUGACUGGGGCGGUCUCCUCCCAAAGAGUAACGGAGGAGCACGAAGGUUAGCUAAUCCUGGUCGGACAUCAGGAGGUUAGUGCAAAGGCAUAAGCUAGCUUGACUGCGAGAGUGACGGCUCGAGCAGGUGCGAAAGCAGGUCUUAGUGAUCCGGUGGUUCUGAAUGGAAGGGCCAUCGCUCAACGGAUAAAAGGUACUCCGGGGAUAACAGGCUGAUACCGCCCAAGAGUUCAUAUCGACGGCGGUGUUUGGCACCUCGAUGUCGGCUCAUCACAUCCUGGGGCUGAAGUAGGUCCCAAGGGUAUGGCUGUUCGCCAUUUAAAGUGGUACGCGAGCUGGGUUUAGAACGUCGUGAGACAGUUCGGUCCCUAUCUGCCGUGGGCGCUGGAGAAUUGAGGGGGGCUGCUCCUAGUACGAGAGGACCGGAGUGGACGCAUCACUGGUGUUCGGGUUGUCAUGCCAAUGGCACUGCCCGGUAGCUAAAUGCGGAAAAGAUAAGUGCUGAAAGCAUCUAAGCACGAAACUUGCCCCG
rnacentral:rRNA from 1 species